rnacentral:rRNA from 1 species
CGGGCCCUAAGAGUUCCCAGGAACGGGACGCCAUAGAGGGUGAGAGCCCCGUCUGGUUGGAUGCCAAAUCUCUGUAAAGUUCCUUCAACGAGUCGAGUAGUUUGGGAAUGCUCUUCUAAAUGGGAGGUAUAUGUCUUCUAAAGCUAAAUACCGGCCAGAGACCGAUAGCGCACAAGUAGAGUGAUCGAAAGAUGAAAAGCACUUUGAAAAGAGAGUUAAAAAGUACGUGAAAUUGUUGAAAGGGAAGCGUUUAUGACCAGACUUGGGCUUGGUUAAUCAUCUGGGGUUCUCCCCAGUGCACUUUUCCA